GAGAAAAUAAGAUAUUACAAUGAAAGAUCUUCAACAUACUUUGUUUUUUUUGCAGUAGCUAUUUCUGUGGUGGACGAGAUAAAAGUAAAUAUUUUGAAAGCAAAAAAAAAUUUUAAAUUCGGCUCAAUUCGGCAGAAUUGUAGAAAUAAAAAAAAAACCAAAAAGCCGAUUAAACCGAUUUAACCGAACUCAAAAACCUACAUAAAAAGCGUUUAGUUUCAUUGUUCACCUAUUAUAGAACAAAGACAAGAAAGAGAGGUUAACAAUACCUUACAACAGAAGAAUUUCAAACAGUUUGGGCAUUCCAACGCAUAAAUAUUAUACAAUCUUGUAUGCUCAACAUAUUCAUCACAGACAAAAGCCAUUUGGGAAUCAACGGCAGCAACUGAGUAGAAUUGAAGUAAGAAAAGGAAAGGAAAUGAAAGUAAUAGGUCAAUAGUAUUGGUUUUUUUUUCUACUCUUUGUAAAAUAGAUCACCCAUCGAAAAAAUUAAUCUUUUUACAUAACACUAAACUAUUUAUUUAAGUCUGUUUAAAAUUACUUAU
rnacentral:sRNA from 1 species